CCCCGGCUGUAGUAGGCCAGGGCAAUUAUCUCUAAAUACCAACGAAAAUGAUCUAUGUGGAUGAAUGUUGCUGUUGCUUGGACCUCAAGUGCGGCUGCAUCUUGAUAGCCCUCAUUGAAGUGCUCAUACGGGGAAUAGAUCGCUUUUUUGUGGACUACGAUACCCUACAGGGCUAUGCCUCGCUCAUUCUGAGUGGCGUCUAUGUGCUAAGCUGCAUCGUGCUCCUGCUCGGUGCCGUGAUGUGCUGGCGUUCGUUUCUACUACCCUAUCUCUUGAUAGCCAUUAUACGUUGGUGCGCCCUGAUCGGCGAGAGCUUCUACAUUUAUCUAUACACCGAAGGCAUCGUCUAUGAGUAUUUAUAUUUCGACAUGUUCCAAGCCAUUUUAGGCUUGUACUUCUGGCUGGUGGUCUACUCUUUCUAUGAUCGAUUGACACAGGCAUCAAAGACAUAGAACCCAAUUCGUUUUCAACUCUGUUGAAUCAAAGAUAGCGCUCUGAAUGCGUUAAAUAUAUUCAAGUUUUCAAGGCCUUAGUGCGUCUGUCACAGAUUUCUGUUGCCUGAGGCUUUCUCUGAUUGAAUCCACUCGCAUUUUGUUUAUCGUUCUCUUAAUGGAAUAAUUGAUGGCCCCCUCCACUCCACUCCCACUCAUAUUUACGUAUAUGGCUUGCAAUGAAUUAAUUUCGCUAAAAAUAACAAUUAUGAAUAUUAAUCCAGACCAGACCCAGACCCAGACCCAGACCUAUCCCAACUCCUUUUUUUUCUGCUCUUUAACGUUUACAACCAACCGUAUUUAAUGGCA